UACGUAGGGGGCGAGCGUUGUCCGGAAUUAUUGGGCGUAAAGAGCGUGUAGGCGGUUCGGUAAGUCUGCCGUGAAAACCUGGGGCUCAACCCUGGGCGUGCGGUGGAUACUGCCGGGCUAGAGGGUGGUAGAGGCGAGUGGAAUUCCCGGUGUAGCGGUGAAAUGCGCAGAUAUCGGGAGGAACACCAGUAGCGAAGGCGGCUCGCUGGGCUAUUCCUGACGCUGAGACGCGAAAGCGAGGGGAGCGAACAGG
rnacentral:rRNA from 1 species